ensembl:lncRNA
GUUUCACAGUUGCCUCCUGCAAGCUCACAGCAACCAGCACCAGCUGGCUUCAGCGCACAUCUAAAGGAUCACUGAGCAAAGCUGGCCGCCAUAUCGUGAGGAUACUCAGGCAACCAUGGAGAGACCCACAUGAGAAGCCCUGCCAAAAGCCUGCACGAAUUUGCCGGUCAUGUGAUUGAGUCAUCUUGGGAGGAGAUCCUCCAGCCCCAGUCAAGCCUUCAGGUCAAUGUAGCCCAAUCGGACGUAUGAUUGCAACCUCAUAAGAGACCCUGAACCAGAAAUGCCAGCUGAACUGCUCUCCCAUUCCUGACCCAUAGAAAUUGCAACAUAAUAAAAGUUGAUUAUUUUAAGC